rnacentral:lncRNA from 1 species
AAGAACAAAGAGAAGAAAAGAAGAACAAGAACCCUAGGUGGGAAAAUUCAAGGAAAAAUUGGUGGAUUUAAAGUAAUCAAGCAAUCAAAGGUAAAAUUUCUUGAUUUUGACUUGUGAUCUACCUUUCCCAUGCAUUUCUCCUUAUUUUUCAUGGUUAGAUUUCAUGUUUUCAUGGUGAAUUCAUGGCUGGUCAAAAUGGGUAUGGAGAGAGAAAGAUGUUAGAUUGAUUUGAUUUUAAGUUAUGUUAGUGUUUUUAGUUAGUUUAGCAUAUUUAGAAACAAAACAACAAGAAAAGAAUUCAUUUUCCCCAUCAACCAUCAAUGGCCGAAUUUCCUAGGGAGGAUAUUGUGGCUGAAAUUGAUGAUAUUUUGGUGAUAUUUGAUGUUUGGUGAGACUAGAAAUUAAAUGGGAAAUUUUGGUAUGAAAAUCUGAAUUUUUGCUCAACGUAUAGACAAGUGUGAUUAUUGAUCCGGGACUGAUAAAUUGAAUCUCAUUCACAGUCACUGAGGUAAUUUAGGUGUAAUUGGAGUGUAGAUAGUAAGAAGAAUUGAUUUGGAGUUAAAUUGGAGAUUUUAGCCGAUUAGACCAAGUAUAGUGUGAUUUAGGUCGAAUAUGACAUUUAAGCGAUUAAUCAGACAUUUCGCAUUCCAUAUCAUGCAUUAGUAGUCUAAACUAGUUUAAUUUCAAUUUAGUACCAAUGUAGUAAGUUUCUCAAUUUUGUACUGUGUCAAGGUCGUGAGCCCUCUAACAAAGGUAAAGAGAUUGUGCCCGAAGACCUGAAAUAGGAGUAUAUCGAACUCUUAGUAGUGUGAGUAACCUUAUCAUCAUUUUAAUUAUCUAAAGUAUAUUUUAAUUUGGUUUUGGUGAAAUUGUAUGAAUAUGAUUUUAAAUGGUUAAUUUUAGGUUUUAUAAACAAAAAUGAGUUUAAAUGAAAAUAUUUUAUAAAUUGUCUUGAAACGAAAUAACGAUUUUGAAAAUAGAGUAAUUGGAGACCACUGAUAUGUUGUAAAUUUAAAAUUUAAUUGAUGGCUUAUGUUAUUGUGUUGGCAUGACUAGUUGGGCUAUGUUUUAUGAAUUGUAUGAAUUGCUUUAUUUUACCCUUGCAGGCUGGGUAAUAAUAUAUUAGCCCUAUCAUGCUGUCAAAAUUUUAUUGUAUGGUGUGUUUGACCUGCUGCAGUGGGUUGGGUUCUGUGGACUAGCCUAUUAGAGGGGCAUGGAAUCCUGUUAUAUUUUACCUCGGUUGGAGAGGCGAGCAGGGUAACUCCUGAGGUAUAACUUUUAGAGUUCACUUCAUGCCAAACAACCACGUGAGAGGGAACUCGGCCAACGCCAAGGAACAGCUAUGUUUUCAAAAUAAAACAUGACUUUCUAAUAGCCUUGGUAGACUCAGUUGGGAUAGCCCUCGGCCAAGGUAUCCCAAAUAAUUGAGUAUGAUAAUAAUUUUUAGCAUGAGCCAAGCUUUUAAGAAAUU